rnacentral:tRNA from 2 species
UGCCCCAUCGUCUAACGGCUAAGACAGCAGACUCUGACUCUGCUUAUCGAGGUUCGAAUCCUUGUGGGGCAG